UGUUCCCUGGGAGAUUGCUCUGCGGCCAAUCAGAGUCGCUUCCUCCAGUUCUUCUCUUUGUAUAUAAAGCCUGACCACGAACAAGCCAUAUUAUUCUCUGUAAAAACAACCCAAAGAAGAAAAUAUCAUGGGAAACGGACCUUCUUCUGUCCCGACAGGAACCCCAUCAGGUUUAAUGACGUUUGCAUCUCCUGCUGGUGCGACAAUUGGUUAUCCCCAACCAAGCCCUGCCCUCCUUAGCACUGAUGUCAUACUCGCACCAGGUCCAUCACCAAGCGGUGGCUUUAGUCCACCGCCAAGUGGUGGUCCACCACCGAUGAUGUAACCAAGGUUUUCCCCUUGAAGUCGUUGUGGUUUGUGAAGCCCUUCACGGGCUGUAAUAAUAAAUUUGGAUUGAUUGAUGAA